rnacentral:rRNA from 1 species
GAUGAACGCUGGCGGCGUGCCUAAUACAUGCAAGUCGAGCGAACGGACGAGAAGCUUGCUUCUCUGAUGUUAGCGGCGGACGGGUGAGUAACACGUGGAUAACCUACCUAUAAGACUGGGAUAACUUCGGGAAACCGUAGCUAAUACCGGAUAAUAUUUUGAACCGCCUGGUUCAAAAGUUAAAGACGGUCUUGCUGUCACUUAUAGAUGGAUCCGCGCUGCAUUAGCUAGUUGGUAAGGUAACGGCUUACCAAGGCAACGAUGCAUAGCCGACCUGAGAGGGUGAUCGGCCACACUGGAACUGAGACACGGUCCAGACUCCUACGGGAGGCAGCAGUAGGGAAUCUUCCGCAAUGGGCGAAAGCCUGACGGAGCAACGCCGCGUGAGUGAUGAAGGUCUUCGGAUCGUAAAACUCUGUUAUUAGGGAAGAACAUAUGUGUAAGUAACUGUGCACAUCUUGACGGUACCUAAUCAGAAAGCCACGGCUAACUACGUG